ensembl:lncRNA NR2F2-AS1 NR2F2 antisense RNA 1
AAUAGACAGCAAAAAGGUAAACGUUUGCCUGAAAUCCGCACGCCAGCUCCACCGCCCCGCCCGAUGGUCCCAGUUCCUCUGGGAAUCGUCCUGUAUGCAACAUCUUCACAAGAGUGGCAGGCAGUUGAAUCUCUGGCCUUCGUGGGACCACUGGACAUCUGGCAGAGAACCAGGAAACCACGGUUCCCUUCUGUGAGUCCCUCAGCCGGAAAACUACAAGAUGAGUGUAAGGCCAUUAUCAUGGACUUUUUCCCCAGCUGCAGGUGAUGGUCUUGUUUUCCCAAGCUGCUACAGAGCUUCUGCAGCUCCAAGCAUGACCACUAUAUUUGGCUGCUUAAAAGCAUAACAAGGGCAGAAAUCAUAAAGGCUUUGCCCAGAGGGCCUUGAUUGUCCUUGCCUUCUUGUCCUUUGGUGAGAACUUCAUUGGUGGUGGCUCCAAAAAUCAGGAGACUUUCUGUGAUGAAUUCACCAUAAGAACGUGGGACCCAGCCUCCCUUGAAGGACGUCCUAUAUGAUGCCUGUUUCCAAGGGAAGAAGUAAAGUCAAGAA